rnacentral:rRNA from 1 species
CCAAUAGCGUAUAUUAAAGUUGUUGCAGUUAAAAAGCUCGUAGUUGAACCUUAGGCCCGCGCGGGUGGUCCGUCCUCAGGGCGAGCACUGCUCCGUCGCGGGUCUCACCUUCUGGCGAGCGUGGAUGCCAUUUAUUUGGUGUCUGCGGGAACCAGGACCUUUACCUUGAAAAAAUUAGAGUGCUCAAAGCGGGCUUCAUGCGCUUGAAUACAUUAGCAUGGAAUAAUGAAAUAGGACGAUGGUUCUAUUUUGUUGGUUUCCGGGACCGUCGUAAUGAUUAAUAGGGAUAGUUGGGGGCAUUCGUAUUCAAUUGUCAGAGGUGAAAUUCUUGGAUUUAUUGAAGACGGACUACUGCGAAAGCAUUUGCCAAGGAUGUUUUCAUUAAUCAAGAACGAAAGUUGGGGGAUCGAAGACGAUCAGAUGCCGUCGUAGUCUCAACCAUAAACUAUGCCGACUGGGAAUCGGACGAUGUUAUUUUUUGUGACUCGUUCGGCGCCCCGAG